UACGGGGGGGGCAAGCGUUGUUCGGAAUUACUGGGCGUAAAGGGCGUGUAGGCGGUCAGGUAAGUGAGACGUGAAAUGCCCCGGCUUACCCGGGGACCUGCGUCUCAUACUGCUUGGCUUGAGUACGGGAGAGGGUGUGGGAAUUCCUGGUGUAGCGGUGAAAUGCGUAGAUAUCUGGAGGAACACCGGUGGCGAAGGCGGCAUCCUGGACCAAUAUUGACGCUGAGGAGCGAAAGCCAGGGGAGCAAACGGG
rnacentral:rRNA from 1 species